rnacentral:rRNA from 1 species
GACGAACGCUGGCGGCGUGCUUAACACAUGCAAGUCGAACGGAAAGGCCCUGCUUUUGUGGGGUGCUCGAGUGGCGAACGGGUGAGUAACACGUGAGUAACCUGCCCUUGACUUUGGGAUAACUUCAGGAAACUGGGGCUAAUACCGGAUAGGAGCUCCUGCUGCAUGGUGGGGGUUGGAAAGUUUCGGCGGUUGGGGAUGGACUCGCGGCUUAUCAGCUUGUUGGUGGGGUAGUGGCUUACCAAGGCUUUGACGGGUAGCCGGCCUGAGAGGGUGACCGGCCACAUUGGGACUGAGGUACGGCCCCGACUCCUACGGGGGGCAGCAGUGGGGAAUAUUGCACCAUGGGCGGAAGCCUGAUGCAGCCACGCCGCGUGCGGGAUGACGGCCUUCGGGUUGUAAACCGCUUUCGCCUGUGACGAAGCGUGAGUGACGGUAAUGGGUAAAGAAGCCCCGGCUAACUACGUG